AUCUCUACUGAUGUGGAGAAACAAGUGAUAGGAGGGAAGAAAAUCAACGUAACAGAGAACCCUGAAAAAGCUCUGUUAGAUCCAAACCGCUGUGAAAGUUGCUACGGUGCUGAAACUACAUCUGACAGGUAAGUUAUACUUUUCUAAUUACAUUCUCUCUUCUGAUACCUUUCUCUCAGACACUGUCUGUGUUUAGUUGUGUUGGUGUUAUUGU